UUACCGUGGUGUGCUCUUUCCACCACGCGGAUAGCAUAGGCUGACAUGUAUGAUAAGCAACCUUGAGAGCAAAGGGAAUGCAUUGCACCAUGAAUAUGGAGAGUGAGCUUUAAAAUAGUAUGAAAGACAAAUGUUUAAAGGUAUACAUUUCUUUCAGAGAACUUUUUCUCUCUCUUUCUCUCUCUGACAGUGUGUGUGUAUCUCCUGUGUCUCUCUUUCCCUCUCUCACAUGCACACAUAAGUGCACACACACACUUCUCUUGGAAACUGAAGGAGGCAAGAAUAUGAUGCCAUUAACAAAUGCUCUUUGGUGGACAGCAAUAAUAACAACUGCUAACUUUCACUGAGGACUACUUAUGUGCCAGAUACCAUGUGAAGCGCUUUGCUUGUAUUAGAUCAUCGAAACCUCAGAAAAACUCUAUAAAGUGGGUGCUAAUAUUUUCUAGAUUUUUCAGAUACAAUACUGAGGAUCAGGGAGAUUGAAUAAGUUGUCCAGUGUCACCCCUGGUAGCUGAGAGAGCUGGUUUGGAUGCCUAGGGCUGUUUGUCUCCAAACCUGUGCCUUGCACCCUUAGCUCUGGUUCCUCCCCUCUCAUGUCAUGUAAUCAGCACAAAUUUCCUGAAGUAAGGCUGCAUGCAUAUAACAAGAAUAAAGGAAUAAAAAUAGAGGAUGCCGUGGAAUGGGAGA
ensembl:lncRNA CACNA1C-IT1 CACNA1C intronic transcript 1